rnacentral:rRNA from 1 species
UACAGAGGGGGCAAGCGUUGUUCGGAAUUACUGGGCGUAAAGGGCUCGUAGGCGGCCAACUAAGUCAGACGUGAAAUCCCUCGGCUUAACCGGGGAACUGCGUCUGAUACUGGAUGGCUUGAGUUUGGGAGAGGGAUGCGGAAUUCCAGGUGUAGCGGUGAAAUGCGUAGAUAUCUGGAGGAACACCGGUGGCGAAAGCGACACGCUGGAUCUCAUCUGACGCUGAGGCGCGAAAGCCAGGGGAGCGAACGGG